GCUGGCGUAACUCAGUUGGUAGAGUAGCUGACUUGUAAUCAGCCUGUCGCACGUUCAAAUCGUGUCGCCAGCUCCA
rnacentral:tRNA from 1 species